AUUUUGCAGGUAUUUUACCCUUCCCUCCUGACUUUCUAUGGAGAACUGUUUAUAAAUCUUUGUUAAAAGGUCUACAACCUGGAGAAGACAUUUGUUAUUAAUUUCAUGCAACUGUUUAAUCUCAUAUAUAGCUGAAACAUUUGCAAGACAAGUACAUCUGAUCAAGUUUAACUCAUUAAACUGAAAAUUCCGUUGACUUAUGGAAUAAAUGAAUGUCAAUCAAUACAAAAAUCUAAUUUAAAAUCAAUAUUUUAAGGUCACUGUAAAUGUAGGGCUUAUUCCAUAUACAUUUCAUCAAUGAUUAUUUUAAUAAUUAAUCAUACAAUUGCUGAAAAUCAAAAUAUAUGUAACUAUAAGUAAUAAUAAUAUUGAGGAAUCAUUCUUUUGAUAAUAUAGGGUGAUCAUAAUACAGUCAGGCAUGAACAAAUCUAUCAUCUAAGCCCUUAAGGUAUUUCAUUUUUUAGGACUAUCUUUUUCAUUUUACUUAAGUGUAUAUGAUAUAUUUAUAGUUAUCACAUGUUUAGCUCAAUAUACGGUGGAUAUCACUCAUGUUUAUUUUUUUUUUAUUCCACUGUGUGUUCUUACACGAUGUGACGUCAUAAAUAAACAUUACGUAGCUUCAGGCGGAUGAUUGACAUAGAAUAACAUUUUUACAAAAACAUUCAUUUGAAAAGUGUAGAGUUAUGGAUGUGGCGCAAUUAAUGUUGUUUCAUUUUUUCAUAAAUUGAUACAAAUAUGUUAGAAAAUG
rnacentral:sRNA from 1 species